UUAUAUGAUGAGUUAUUAGAAGAUUAUGAUUGUUGAUUAUUGAGAGUUGUGUAAGUUUUGGACAAAAAAAGUUGGUAAUUAUAGAAAUUAUGUGAAUCCAGAUUAGUUGGAGUGAGGUUUGUUAUUUCUAGUGUUAGAUGAAAUUAUUGUGUUUUGAGUGGUCUUUUGAGAGUGCACGGUUGCACAUUGUUGGUAUUAGUUGAUGAAAGAGUAUUGUUACUAGAAGAAAGCAUUAUAGUAUUUCUUGGUAUUUUAGUGGUUUGGAAUAUGAUUAAUUGUGUGACCCUAAUAAGUAAAACUCAUGCACUCAGUUUUUCUCUAUGUUCGAAUUUUCCUACAUAUGUUUAUUCUCAAAAAAAUUCUAAAAUAAGUAAAAUG
rnacentral:lncRNA from 1 species